rnacentral:rRNA from 1 species
GACGAACGCUGGCGGCGUGCUUAGCACAUGCAAGUCGAACGGAAAGGCCCUGCUUUUGUGGGGUGCUCGAGUGGCGAACGGGUGAGUAACACGUGAGUAACCUGCCCUUGACUUUGGGAUAACUUCAGGAAACUGGGGCUAAUACCGGAUAGGAGCUCCUGCUGCAUGGUGGGGGUUGGAAAGUUUCGGCGGUUGGGGAUGGACUCGCGGCUUAUCAGCUUGUUGGUGGGGUAGUGGCUUACCAAGGCUUUGACGGGUAGCCGGCCUGAGAGGGUGACCGGCCACAUUGGGACUGAGAUACGACCCAGACUCCUACGGGAGGCAGCAGUGGGGAAUAUUGCACAAUGGGCGGAAGCCUGAUGCAGCAACGCCGCGUGCGGGAUGACGGCCUUCGGGUUGUAAACCGCUUUCGCCUGUGACGAAGCGUGAGUGACGGUAAUGGGUAAAGAAGCACCGGCUAACUACGUG